rnacentral:rRNA from 1 species
UCGCCGCGGUAUUUUGACCGUGCUAAGGUAGCAUAAUCAUUAGUUUUUUAAUUAAAAGCUGGAAUGAAGGGCUGAAUGAAAAAAAAACUGUCUCUAAUUAAUUAUUUUAGAAUUUUAUUUUUAAGUUAAAAAGCUUAAAUUUUAUUAAAAGACGAGAAGACCCUAUAGAGUUUAAUAAUUUUAUACUAUAAAAAAUUUGGAAUUAAUAUUUUUAUUUUUAUAUAAUUAUUUGAUUGGGGUGAUUAAAAAAUUUAAUAAACUUUUUUAUUUAUUUAUAUUGAUUAAUAAAUAAUUGAUCCAAAAAUUUUGAUUAUAAGAUAAAAUUACCUUAGGGAUAACAGCGUAAUUUUAUUUGAGAGUUCUA